GUCUACAGCCAUACCGCCCUGAACGCACCCAAUCUCGUCUGAUCUUGGAAGCUAAGUAGGGUUGGGCCUGGUUAGUACUUGGGUGGGAGACAGUUGAAGCUUCUGAGUUAAGAAGGUAACAGAAGAGA
ensembl:rRNA 5S_rRNA 5S ribosomal RNA